rnacentral:sRNA from 1 species
CAUGAAGUAAGUGGGUUCGUGGGGGUGAUUGCCUGUGGCUGGGACCUGGGAGUUACCUGAGAGAAUUGGGGUUAUUUGGGCUUGUGGGGAGGGGCUAAGAAAUGAUCAGAAAAGACAGGAAUUCUUAAAAAUGUGGAAUGGGAGCAGGCUUGAGUCAUGGACCUGCCCGAGCCUCCCCCAGUUUGUGGCCCUGAUAGGUGCCCUCCUUGCCAUCUGCUGCAUGAUCUUCCUGGGCUUUGCGGAUGAUGUACUGAAUCUGCGCUGGCGCCAUAAGCUGCUGCUACCCACAGCUGCCUCACUACCUCUCCUCAUGGUCUAUUUCACCAACUUUGGCAACACGACCAUUGUGGUGCCCAAGCCCUUCCGCCCGAUACUUGGCCUGCAUCUGGACUUGGGAAUCCUGUACUAUGUCUACAUGGGGCUGCUGGCAGUGUUCUGUACCAAUGCCAUCAAUAUCCUAGCAGGAAUUAACGGCCUAGAGGCUGGCCAGUCACUAGUCAUUUCUGCUUCCAUCAUUGUCUUCAACCUGGUAGAGUUGGAAGGUGAUUGUCGGGAUGAUCAUGUCUUUUCCCUCUACUUCAUGAUACCCUUUUUUUUCACCACUUUGGGAUUGCUCUACCACAACUGGUACCCAUCACGGGUGUUUGUGGGAGAUACCUUCUGUUACUUUGCUGGCAUGACCUUUGCCGUGGUGGGCAUCUUGGGACACUU